CGCAUCUGUGCAUGCAGCAUAUCAAUAAGCGGAGGAAAAGAAACUGAACAAGGAUUCCCCUAGUAACGGCGAGUGAAGCGGGAAGAGCUCAAAUUUGAAAUCUUAAAGGGUUUCCCUUUACGAAUUGUAGUUUAAAGAAGUGUUUUCUGUUGAGGUUUUGGUAAAAGUUCUUUGGAAUAGGACAUCAUAGAGGGUGAGAAUCCCGUAUUUGACCUUUACUUUCAACUUUGUGAUACACUUUCAAAGAGUCGGAUUGUUUGGGAAUGCAGUCCAAAAUGGGUGGUAAAUUUCAUCUAAAGCUAAAUAUUGGCGAGAGACCGAUAGCGAACAAGUACCGUGAGGGAAAGGAUGAAAAGAACUUUGAAAAGAGAGUUAAACAGUACGUGAAAUUGUCAAAAGGGAAGCGUCUGACACCAGUGUUGUUUUUCUGAAAAUCAAUUAAAGAACUGUUUAUGCUAAGUUGUUUAGACUUUAUCAGCUAACUGUUUAGUUUUGAGCUUUUCUUUAAUGCACUUUUCAGUUAACAAGUCAACAUCAAUUUCUUUUGCUGUAAAAAAGCUUGAGGAAGGUGGCUUGAGAUUCGUCUUAAGUGUUUAUAGCCUCUUGCCUAUGCAGUCGGAGAGAUUGAGGUCUGCAGCGUAGAUCCUUCGGGGCUAAAUGCAUUUGUGCUAAGUUAUAGCAUUUUAUAGACAACUUGUUGACUAUGAUUUGUCUUGUAGCUUACUCGCUUAUGUUAUUUUACCUACGCUUAGGAUGUUGACAGCAGUAUAGACUGU
rnacentral:rRNA from 1 species